AAUAACUUACCAUUAUUAAUCUCCCACUGUGAGCCUUAUCCCAGGAGGAAGAGGGCAUUAGGCGGGGGGCAUCCCGGACAGGAAGUCACUCGCACGCCACGGAUAAUUUGGUCUCAAUGAUUCGCCUACUCGCAUGUUUUUGCACUGUGGGAAGGAUCCAGAGGUAUUUCAGGCAAGACGCGACCACGGUAGAACAUGCAAGCUCCACGUACAAAGAGCUGGGAGGCAAUCAAACCCACAACCUUGGAGAGCGGCGGCGAGGGGAAGGUUAAUGACAUAAGCUGCGAAGCGCCGGCAUCAUACAUCAUGCAGUGGAGGAGUCCUGGCUGCUGCUGCCUCGCAGCCCUUCAUGGCACUUGGAUCUCAUAACGUCCGACUUCAAAGGGGAGCGACCAAACGGGGCGUGAGGGACCACGGACUUUCGUACUACCUCCGUUCCUGUGACUGUAAGUCAACCCGGAGGAUCAUCUUUAAUUAGAAGCCACAGAAGAAGGUCACCAGCAUCCAGGCCCUGCUCCCCGUCCACAUCAAAGGGAAACAUCCCACUUUUCCUGUGUCAGCCCUGAGAAAAACAGCAGGACACGGCGGCCAGCAGUAGUGUGUGUGGGGAGCCACAGCCCCACCCCCCAGGACAUGAAGCAGACAUGGAAGAGACCCGGGCCCCAGACAUCCAGAGGCCCCCCAGGGCAUGGGACCCCUCCGGAGGACCACCACAGGGAGAAUUGCAGCCCCCACCCAGAAAAAGGGCAGAGGAGAGCUUCAGAGGGAGGUCAUCUGGCAGCCGCAGUGCAGGAGCCCCAGGGGACCGUGGCAGUGAGCCCGCAGGUCCCCAGGCCAGAGAUCCAAGGGCCCCCCCACCCCCCAGGAGGGGCCCGACAGAGCUAGGAGGGCCAGGCCUUGCCAAGCAUGGAGACACACAGAAAUGAACGUUGUACACACACUCACACUCCCCAUAUAUACUCUACACUCCCAGAUCCAGGCACCACUAUCCCCCAAAAGAGCAAUCCGCCAUCAGACCCCGGAGAUGGACCGGGGAGACAAGAAGACCACCCUGGUCCCCACAGCAGCCCAAGAAGCCCACCACCCCGACCGGACGGCCAGCUCUUCCUCUCAGACCCCAGCUCCAGCUGGUGAACAGAGAACGGGGGUGUGAAAAGACCCCAUGCCUCCCUUCGCCCACUCAGAUGUGGUGUUGCUGCAGUUUGAGGGACCAAGGCCAAGAUGAGCCACACUGGGCCUUGUUGGGUCUCCGAGGGGGAGAAACUGCUCUGUCAGAUCUGUGCUUAUGGUCUGGUGAUGUGUUUUUAAAGGUACAGAGCUGAGCUCCUCUCUGUAGCAGUUCUGGACAUCUGGACAAAUGGGUUUUGUCCCAUUUGCAUAAACUCAGCACACACUAUUGUCUUGACAUCCUUAAGAACUGCCAUAUUACUUACCCUUAGCAAUUUGAGAUCUACUUAAAGGUACAAACCUAUUGAUAUAUGUUUGUUACUGCUCUAUGCAUACAGUACUUUGUAGUGUAUUCAUGGGGAAAGUUGCCUUUUCUUUUAAUUGUGUCUAUCCAUCCAUCCAUCCAUGCAUCCAUUGUCCGCCACUAAUCUGGGUCAGGGUUGCUUGGGCAGCAUACUGAGCAGAGAUGUCCAGACCUUCCUCUACCCAGCCCCCUCCUCCAGCUCCUCCAGUGGGAGCCCCUGGUGUCUCCAAACCAGCCAAGAAAUACCACCUCUCCAGCGUGUCCUGGCUCUGCCCCAGUGUCUGCUCCCUGUUGGACAUGCUAAAUUCUGCCAUGCAUCCUAAUUAUAAACAGAAUAUCAUAUUCCUCAGGAGGAUCACAGUGCAUAGAAUGGGGAUUCUCGUCUCCGGCAUGGAGGGUUCGAUUCCCACACCCUGACCCGCACUAGGAGGUUUGCAUGAUGGAUAUGGGUGAAUCUCAACACCAAGAACUCAAAGACCGUACUUGUGGUCUUGGCAAGCCUAGUCCUGCAAACUUGCCAUCCAAGAACGAAUGAGACCAAUCCCACAAUUCAUUGUGCCUCAUUCGGCGAGGAUACAAGUAAUGCAUCCUUGAUAUUUGGGGUGGCAAAGGCAACAUCUGCAGAUUUAAUGUCCUCAGUACUUCUGUUCUUGAGUAUUGGGACUGGUGUUCGGUAAUGGAAGAUGACAUGAAACAGGUACAAGAGAAUACGAGUACGGUCAAGUAUGCAUAUUGAGAUUCACCCCUUGUCUUGUGUGGUUCUGCUAUAGACGCUCCCAUUUCCUGCUGCAGUUCAAAUACACGCGGUUCAGAUGACCUGAUUUGUAAGCGAGUGUUUAUGUCCCAUGAUGCACCGGGAUUCUGCUCAGGACAGCUCACGCUGCCUGGGAGAGGCUCAAGGUUCAACUGGGUUACCAUGGUUGGAUGUAGAGUCAUUACAGUCACACCCCACAGUACAUGCCCUCGCGGAGGGUCUGUACUGCGACCUGCUGCCCAGAGUGCAUGCAGGGCAUUCAGGUCAGUGGUACGCUGCCCCAGCAUGCAUCUUGGAACUAUUCCCACAAUACUUUGCAUGCAUACAAAGCCCCACCCCCUAAGUUACUUUCAGCACGUUUAGGAAAAACAGCAUGAAAGGUACAAUUCGCCACCGGAAUUAUGCGAAACGCAGCUAAGCAUGUCUAAUUAAGUAAUUAAAUGUGGAGCAGAAACACGAGCGUUAGCCUGCUAGUCAUUAUGCUACUACAACAGGAAAGUAGAAAAGCUAAACAUCUUUAAGUAA